ACCCGCACAAGCGGUGGAUGAUGUGGAUUAAUUCGAUGCAACGCGAAAAACCUUACCUACCCCUGACAUGUCCAGAAGCCUGAAGAGAUUUGGGUGUGCCCGAAAGGGAACUGGAACACAGGUGCUGCAUGGCUGUCGUCAGCUCGUGUCGUGAGAUGUUGGGUUAAGUCCCGCAACGAGCGCAACCCUUGUCGUUAAUUGCCAUCAUUCAGUUGGGCACUUUAACGAGACUGCCGGUGACAAACCGGAGGAAGGUGGGGAUGACGUCAAGUCCUCAUGGCCCUUAUGGGUAGGGCUUCACACGUCAUACAAUGGUCGGUACAGAGGGUUGCCAAGCCGCGAGGUGGAGCCAAUCCCAGAAAGCCGAUCGUAGUCCGGAUCGCAGGCUGCAACUCGCCUGCGUGAAGUCGGAAUCGCUAGUAAUCGCGGAUCAGCAUGUCGCGGUGAAUACGUUCCCGGGUCUUGUACACACCGCCCGUCACACCAUGGGAGCGGGUUCCGCCAGAAGUAGGUAGCCUAACCGCAAGGAGGGCGCUUACCACGGCGGGGUUCGUGACUGGGGUGAAGUCGUAACAAGGUAGCCGUAGGGGAACCUGCGGCUGGAUCACCUC
rnacentral:rRNA from 1 species